rnacentral:tRNA from 1 species
GGCCACACAUAGCUCAGGAAGGGCAGACAGGAAAUCAGAGACCUUCGGGCGUGUGGGAUCGAGUCCCACUGUGGCCACCA